rnacentral:rRNA from 1 species
UACAGAGGUCCCAAGCGUUGUUCGGAUUCACUGGGCGUAAAGGGCGCGUAGGCGGCUCAUGAAGGCUGUGGUGAAAGUCCGGGGCUCAACCUCGGAUCGGCCGUGGCGACUCGUGGGCUGGAGCACUGUAGAGGCGGGUGGAAUUCCGGGUGUAGCGGUGAAAUGCGCGAUAUCAGGAGGAACACCGGUGGCGAAGGCGGUUCUCUGGGAAUAUCCUGACGCUGAGGAGCGAAAGUGUGGGGAGCGAACAGG